GACGUGACUUCAGAGUUUGAUCCUGGCUCAGGAUGAACGCUGGCGGCGUGCCUAAUACAUGCAAGUCGAGCGAACCACUUCGGUGGUGAGCGGCGAACGGGUGAGUAACACGUAGGUGAUCUGCCCAUCAGACGGGGACAACGAUUGGAAACGAUCGCUAAUACCGGAUAGGACGAAAGUUUAAAGGUGCUCCUGGCACCGCUGAUGGAUGAGCCUGCGGCGCAUUAGCUAGUUGGUAGGGUAAAGGCCUACCAAGGCGACGAUGCGUAGCCGACCUGAGAGGGUGAACGGCCACACUGGGACUGAGACACGGCCCAG
rnacentral:rRNA from 1 species